rnacentral:tRNA from 1 species
GGAGGGGUGCCGGAGCCCGGCUGAUCGGGCCCGUCUCGAAAACGGGUAGGGUGUAACAGCCCUCGUGGGUUCGAAUCCCACCCCCUCCG